GUCUAGGUCGACGCGGCAUGGUGGAAUGACUUUCUGCUGCAUCUCCACACAGUGCGCUCCACCCUACAGCCGCAGGGUGAGCGCCAGGACAUACACCUCUACCAAACUGGGCAAGAAUGAUGUUUUCAACUAUUACUGAAUACUAUAUUGUAAUAGAAUGCUAUUUGGCUUUCUGUAAGGGCAUUAUCUGUUGCUACGUGCAAGACAAAUAGUAAGUAAAUAGUUUCCACCGCUAGAGCCACAGCCUGCCCGCUGCCAGAGCGGUGAGUCAGUCGUGCAUAACUUGCAUGUUAAAAAUUAGGUGUUACUGCAAAGAAGACUUUUUGAUCCAUGUUUUGUUCUUGACCUUUAAGCAUAUGUUUUGAUAAGUGACUCGAUUGUUAUUAUUCUUUGAAAAUAAUAAUCAUGAGAAGUAACCUGUUUAUAUAAGUAUGUUUACUGAUAUUUUAGGUGGAUCUACCUUUCUGAUAGUGCAACAAGUUGAACAAUAAAUUGUUUAUCUUCAGCCGAUGCAGAAUCUGAGCCGACAAGAUAAAAGUCCAUACCUUACCCUUCCCUUCAAGAUUACUCUUCGUAGAUUCUUCUCUCAACAUAGAUUAAGGAAAGAAAAUAUGCAGACAUGUUCUUUGCAUGCUGGAGAUAUCCCCUGUUUCUGAUGUCUUUUGGCAUUUUCGCAUGGUGAUGACUACAGCAAACCUAAAACAUCAGCUACUACGUACUUAGAAGGCAGAACAAUAGAAGGAGUAUAUAUUUGAAGGCAGAACAAUAGAAGGAGUAUAUAUUUGAAGGCAAAACAUCAGCUACUACCGCUAUAUUUGAAGGCAGAACAAUAGAAGGAGUAUAUAUAGGAUUUAGUUACAAUGUCAUAUUUUGGAACAAGAUUGUAAGCUGUGUACUCAAAAGAGAAUUUUCAUGUACGGGAUGAGAAAUUUUAAUAAUAAAUGCUGAAUUGU